rnacentral:rRNA from 1 species
UACGUAGGAUGCUAGCGUUGUCCGGAUUUACUGGGUGUAAAGGGAGCGCAGGCGGGUUGGUAAGUCGGUGGUGAAAUUCUCGGGCUUAACCCGAGUACUGCCAUCGAUACUGCUAAUCUUGAGUGCAGAAGAGGUUGAUGGAAUUCUAGGUGUAGCGGUGAAAUGCGUAGAUAUCUAGAAGAACACCGAUGGCGAAGGCAGUCAACUGGUCUGCUACUGACGCUCAUGCUCGAAAGCGUGGGGAUCAAACAGGAUUAGAUACCCUGGUAGUCCACGCCCUAAACGAUGAAUACUCGAUGUCGGCUCGCAAGGGUCGGUGUCUAAGCUAACGCAUUAAGUAUUCCACCUGGGGAGUACGAUCGCAAGGUUGAA